UCCGGAGGGUGCAAGCGUUGUCCGGAUUCACUGGGUGUAAAGGGUGUGUAGGUGGAAUGGCAAGUCAGGGGUGAAAGCCUACAGCUUAACUGUAGAACUGCCUUUGAUACUGUUGUUCUUGAGUACUGGAGAGGUCACUGGAAUUCGUGGUGUAGCGGUGAAAUGCGUAGAUAUCACGAGGAACACCUGAGGCGUAGGCGGGUGACUAGACAGAUACUGACACUGAGGCACGAAAGCGUGGGGAGCAAACAGG
rnacentral:rRNA from 1 species